rnacentral:rRNA from 1 species
CAGUCGCCGCGGGAAUACGGAGGGAGCUAGCGUUGUUCGGAAUCACUGGGCGUAAAGCGCACGUAGGCGGCUAUUCAAGUCAGGGGUGAAAGCCCGGGGCUCAACCCCGGAACUGCCUUUGAAACUAGAUAGCUUGAAUCUUGGAGAGGCGAGUGGAAUUCCGAGUGUAGAGGUGAAAUUCGUAGAUAUUCGGAAGAACACCAGUGGCGAAGGCGACUGACUGGACAAGUAUUGACGCUGAGGUGCGAAAGCGUGGGGAGCAAACAGGAUUAGAUACCCCCGUAGUCCCUGUCUCUUAUAC